rnacentral:rRNA from 1 species
UUCAACGGCCGCGGUAUCCUAACCGUGCAAAGGUAGCGUAAUCACUUGUCCCCUAAAUAGGGACCUGUAUGAACGGCUAAAUGAGGACUAAACUGUCUCCUUUAAUUAAUCAGUGAAACUGAUCUACCAGUACAAAAGCGGUAUAAUCUCAUAAGACGAGAAGACCCUGUGGAGCUUUAAACUCUCAGUCAAACAACAAAACCAAGUAUAAAAUAUGACCAAAAGUUUUAAGUUGGGGCGACUUCGGAAAAAAACAAAACUUCCGAGCAUAAAGAAAAUUAAUCUUACCAAGACCAACAAGUCAAAGCAAAACUUGACCCAGUAUAACUGAUCUACGAACCAAGUUACCCCAGGGAUAACAGCGCAAUCUUCUUCAAGAGUCCAUAUCGACAAGAAGGUUUACGACCUCGAUGUUGGAUCAGGACACCCAAAUGGUGCAGCCGCUAUUAAA